GUCCUGUUGAAGGUGGAAGAAAGCAUGUGAAGCUGAUUGAAUGUGACAGCUGAACUGCAUCAAGAGAAAUGCCAUCAGAUCCUACACUUUCCUGGGCAUUGUAUAAGAAACCGUUUGCUUCACUGUGGCAUUUGCAGGUUACGACCACAUUAUGGAUAAUACAGCCAUGGGUCAAUGCAGCCUUUGAUCAACCGACGUUAGGUGUAGUAAUUGGUAAGGAGCAGAACA